rnacentral:lncRNA from 1 species
GAGUUGUCGUCAUGUUUUGCCUGACAGUGUUCAGGUCCCUGAACGAGAUGGAGUUGCAUUUUUUUUUUCUAACAGGGCAAGAUUGCCGGUUUGCAAAACUGGCCAUGUUGGAAUGUUGCCUUAAUAAAUUUCAAUUUAUUACAAUAAAAUCAAAUUAAUGCGUGUGGCAGGAUACCUCUUUGUUUAUUUUGUUUCUACCUUGUUGGUGAGCUGUAGUUGGGAUUUGGCCAUUUGGGAAUAGUUUUGAAAUGUCCUUUUUCGAAAAUCCUUUAAAAUUUUGAAAUCACAUUUCAAAACUAUCCCAACUACAACCAUCCCAACUGCUAAAAAAUUAAACAAAGCAAGAUCCUGCAACACGUGGUAAAUUAGAUUUUGUUGUAAUAAUAAAUUUGUAAUUUUUUAAGGCAACACCUCUAGUUUUGCAAACCGGCAAUCUUGCGCUAUAUCCCCACCCCCCCAAAAAAAAUGGGGGAGGGUGUCAAAAUUGUCUAUCAACCUUGUUCGUGUUUUCUUCUAGAGGAAUAUGAAACAUCGUGGUUCAUUCAGAUGCCGCGCGUAGGUAUGUAUGGUUAUUCGAUUUGUUAAGCUCCAAGAAAUUGAGCUCCAGGUAAAGAUGAUAUUAAUGCGUUUGAUUGAUGUUAUUCUUUUGUUAAUUCUUCAGUAAACUGUCAGGAGUCAUCGUAUUUAAUAGAUACACGUUCAAGUUCUGAUUAUUCAAUACUAUAGCCCUGUUAAAUAAAGUUGUCAUUGGUGUGAGCUUACUAAAGAUAGAAAUUGUUGAAAGCUAAGUUGAACGUUCUUUUCCAGGUUGUUUUAUGUUGCAUUUCCAAUUUUUUUGCACCUAGUCAUUUGGUAGUGUAUCUGCCAUGUUGAUGGUUGUUAGACCAAGUCUGCCUACUAGUUUCUUUUGCAGUCUGGGAAUGUGUCAUCCGUCCUUGUAUUCUGCAGGUUGGAUUAAAUGGCUAUGUAAUUGUUACUGUUGCACUUUUCUGUGGACUUGGGUAUGCUGGAUUCUGCUAUUGGCGCACAAGCAGUCAACUUUUUCUGAAAAUCGUAUGGUUAUUUGAUAAGGCUAUUUCUAUCAGCUAUCAUUAAAAAAGUGUGGUGGCUGUUGUUCAGAUAGGCUUGCUGAAAUGGAAUGGCUGUGUUCGCCACAGUUACUUGUGUUGUCUAUAUAAUACGGCGCUGAAGUUUUUCUGUUGGUUGUUUGAUCAGCUUAUUUCAUCACCUAUCAUUUAGAAACGUUGAUGCUAGGCGAGGUCUUGUUUGCACAGGUGUGAUGGAAUGGAUUGCACAUGAUGGGCCAGUGGUUAACAUAUUAAUAUUUCUUUUUCGUGUCAUGGUGGAACGUUUUGAAGCUGUUGCUGAAGACUGUGUUGACCAUUUUGUCUGCUAUGGUGUCGUGGUUUUCCGGGUGUGUUGGGACCAUGGUUCUGUGGGUUUUAACUGAGUUUAGGUACAAUGCGGUGUACGUGCGAAUCUUUUGCAUAUUUAUGUUUCAAAUUUAUUUCAACCUUGAUUCUAUAACGUUUAAGUUACGAUUUUGAUCAGGUCAUUAGAACUAAUACUGGGAUUUCUUUCUCUAUUUUAGUUGGUCCUGUAACAGCAAAUGAUGGUCCUAAAGGUAUUUUCCGGUGGGAAUACAGUAUUUAAGCCAUAACGUUGUGAAGAAAAAUGGGGAAUCGUGUAACGAAGACAAGUAAAACGUGUGGCAUACUUGUCCGGUGGCUGCAUGGAAUUUAGACUUAAACAUUUUAUAGUCGUGACAUUUUCUUUAGAUAGCAAGUUAUAGAAAUAAAGGCUGGCAUCUCUUGACUACAGCUGCGGUGGUGAAAAAGAUAUUGGUCGUGAAACAAAAGUAUGCAGAUGGCUGAUCGUUGGGAGAAAAAUUGUCAGUUCGUCGGAGGUCAGCGUCGAAUGUUUUCCAAUAAUAUAUUCCAUUAAAUGUCUCAGCUGUUUAAAAAAAACAUUAUUUGGGGUUCGUUUUCUGUGACGCUGUUUCCUUUUACUUGUGAUAAAUCAGUACUGGGUAGUCAUUACUGUUGCCAGCAUUGUAACUCUCAUUCUCAAAGUUCAAGGAUUUUGUCAGUAUGCAUAUUGAUCUACAAAUGACAUCUAACUGCUGAUCGCCCUGAAUUUACUCAUGCCUUGCGGCAUUUGUUAGUCGCAACUCGGGUGAAAUCUCAAGUCGUGUUUAGCUAGAUAUAUUCGCAUUAGUAAUUGGGAGGAUAUCUUAUUGAAUUAUGUAUUAGCAACUGAAUAAAUUUUAUAUAUCUCA